rnacentral:rRNA from 1 species
UACGUAGGCAGCGAGCGUUGUUCGGAAUUACUGGGCGUAAAGAGUGUGUAGGCGGUUUUCCCAGUCUGUUGUGAAAUCUCCCGGCUUAACUGGGAGGGUGCAGCGGAAACUAGAAUGCUAGAGGGUGGGAGAGGUAAGCGGAAUUCCUGGUGUAGCGGUGAAAUGCGUAGAUAUCAGGAGGAACACCUGUGGUGUAGACAGCUUACUGGACCACUUCUGACGCUGAGACACGAAAGCGUGGGUAGCAAACAGG